rnacentral:tRNA from 1 species
GCCUGGGUGGCUCAGUUGGUUAAGCGUCCGGCUUUGACUCCGGUCAUGAUCUCCCGGUUCAUGGGUUCGAGCCCCAUGUCGGGCU